rnacentral:rRNA from 1 species
ACGGAAGGCAGCAGUGGGGAAUAUUGCACAAUGGGGGAAACUCUGACGCAGUGACGCCGCGUGCGGGAAGAAGGUUUUCGGAUUGUAAACUGCUUUAGACAGGGAAGAAGAAGUGACAGUACCUGUAGAAUAAGCUCCGGCUAACUACGUGCCAGCAGCCGCGGUAAUACGUAGGGAGCAAGCGUUAUCCGGAUUUAUUGGGUGUAAAGGGUGCGUAGACGGGAGAUUAAGUUAGUUGUGAAAUCCCUCAGCUCAACUGAGGAACUGCAACUAAGACUGAUUUUCUUGAGUACUGGAGAGGAAAGUGGAAUUCCUAGUGUAGCGGUGAAAUGCGUAGAUAUUAGGAGGAACACCAGUGGCGAAGGCGACUUUCUGGACAGAAACUGACGUUGAGGCACGAAAGUGUGGGGAGCAAACAGGAUUAGAUACCCUGGUA